UGUGUGUGUGUGGUCAUACAGACAAUCUGGUGUGUCACCACUCUUCUCUAAGCCACGUGUAAGAUGGGGCAUGAGGUAGUGACCCUUCCUAGGGUCCCUUCUUUAACAAAUAUCUUCCAAAUGAGGAGUUGGGAACCCAGAGUGCUAGACCAAGUCUGGCACUCGGAUGACCAGGUCAACACCACUGAAGUCACGUGUGUAACUGAUGAUGUCACAGUUCAGUGGACAGUGGAUGCCCCGGCUAUGUGUUAAAGCAAUAGAAACCCUAACCAGAACAGAAACAUGGGCGCCAUCCUGAACGAAGGCAAAUGGGAAGAGUAACUAGUGAUGACUUCAGGGGACAGCACCAUACCGGACUUUGUCCUACCUUUGAGAUGAGGUCCUACUCUAUAGUCCUGGCUGGCCCAGAACAUGUGAGGCUCCUCUUGAUUCUGCCUCCAGGGAGCUCUGAGAAAAGGGCCCAUCCCGUGCAGUAAGGCCCUGGGAGAAACUUCCUUGUGGUCUCUCUUGUUUUACCAGGGUUCUGUCCCUCUCAGAGGAAUCAUUGGAUUCAGCCUGAACGGAGAGGACACUCCAACGGUGUCACACAUGGAUGGGACAGCCCAGCCCUGGUUGGCCUGUGACAGUUUCCUUGGGGGCUGGAGGACUCACAUCUGGGAAGGGCAGAGUCCCCAAGGGCAGAGCUGAGAAAUGGACCUGUUUCCUGCCACCCAAUUUCCACUCGGCAGUGUGAUUUCUCUUUGUGUUUUCCAUAGUCUACCAUUUACACUGCUGCCACACCAUCCACAUUUUGGUAAACGUUUCUCGUGACCAGCUGACGUCAGGAGACCCCAGAACUGUGCGUAACACAACUGAUUCAUCUCCCCUGGCAGCGGACAUCUUGACCUGCCUCCGGAGCUUUGCUUUGUCUUCCGUAGGUCAAGGCGUUGGUUCUCUCUCUCUCUUUUUUUUUAAUAAAUAAAGUGGAACCUGACUCACGACUCA